AGUAGAAUGACUGAGAGAAAUAGGUGAAAGAUUGUAAAUCUUUAUAGGAGUUGUUAACUCUUCUACUA
rnacentral:tRNA from 1 species